rnacentral:rRNA from 1 species
UCUACGGGUGGCAGCAGUGGGGAAUAUUGGGCAAUGGAGGCAACUCUGACCCAGCAACGCCGCGUGAAGGAAGAAGGCCUUAGGGUUGUAAACUUAUGUUGUAAAGGAAGUAAAGAAUGACGGUACUUUACAAGAAAGCCCCGGCUAACUAUGUGACAGCAGCCGCGGUAAGACAGAGGGGGCAAGCGUUGUUCGGAUUUACUGGGUGUAAAGGGAGCGUAGGGGGGAGAUUAAGUUAAAUGUGAAAGCCUUGGGCUCAACCCAAAAAAUGGUCUUAAUACUGGUUUUCUAGAGUGUAGGAGAGGUAGGUGGAAUUCGUGGUGUAGCGGUAGAAUGCGUAGAGAUUAGGAGGAACAUCAAAGGCGAAGGCAGCUUACUAGACCAUAACUGACACUGAGGCUCGAAAGCGUGGGUAGCAAACAGGAUUAGAUACCCGAGUAGUC